AAUUUCUUUUUGCGUUUUAGCGUCUGUAAAUCUUAUUUUUUCUGUAUUACCUCCUCGAAUUUCGAACGAGAAGAUGGUCGGCGCUCUCGUCGCGCCCGGAAUGGCAUCAGCUCCAUUCGUUUUCGUCGCACCGGCGCUAACAUCUUCCGACUUGCUCCUCCACAGCCGCGCCGCCACCUCCUCCUCGAAUCCUUCACGGUGGUCGAGAAAGGGCCGCAGGCACCUCCCCCUCCGCCCUCUGGACGGGCAUCGACCUCGGCGACCGUUUCCUCGGGGGAGGUCGAAAACAACUUCCGCGGGGACGUCCUGUAAAUACCUACACGCUGCACCGCAUCCUGAUUCCCAGCAUCUCCUCUCAGAUGAGCUGCCAUCCCGUCCCCCUUUAGCAGCCGUCCAUCUCGACUGAGGACUCCAAAAAGCCGCUCAAAAGGGUCAUUCGAGAAAGAUGCCAUCUUUCCCUUCGAUGAUCGGUGUCAUCGAAUUCCCUUCUUGAAUCAUAAAGAUGCCAUCUUGAGGUGAUCCCUGUGCACUUCAUCUAUAGCUUUAUCCCCACAGAUUGCCUUUAGUAGGUGGUUGGUUGGAGUCUAGUUUAUGGCAACGGAGGAAGAAGAAUCGAGUGCCUGUGGGAGACUGUGGGUGGGACGUGGAGUAGAGCUUAUCACUAUGAUUUAUUGCGAUGUACAUGCUGCGGACCAUUUUCCAAAAACUUCAUGUGGAACAACCCAAUCAAGUUAAGGCAGAGCUGUGGACUGCAUCGACAGAUGGGUUUAAAGAAAUGAUUCUGUGCAUAAUUCGUCCCUUUUCCUUGUUAAAUACAACUUGCAGGAUUCCUUAAAGGAAGGUAACUGGAUGCCUUGUUUGGUGAUGGUUUGCUCUUCGGCAUCUAAUAACCCUGAUGGUGUUGUUUAUGCAACAGAUCUAGGACUUAUCUUCUACUUGGAGAAGGAAAAGAAAAGGAUUGUUGAACUUAGCAACCGACCAGACCAUCGAACGUGCUGAUGUUUCGCCAAAUGUAUGUAUACAUUUUUCUACCACUUGAUUAUAACAUACCUUUUUCGCUUUGAUGUAGCUACAACAGCCCAACAUUAGAUCUCUGAAAAUUGAAAAGCACUAAUAACUGCACUGAUAUGUUGAACCAGAGCACAGUGUUUUCAUUCAUUUAUUUGAUGAUGGAACAGAAAGCUUCUCUCA